ensembl:lncRNA
UUGAGGUAGACCAGGAGCUCUGUAGUCAGGUACACCAGGAGCUCUGUAGUUGGAUAGGUCAGGUAGACCAGGAGCUCUGUAGUUCAGGUACACCAGGAGCUCUGUAGUCAGGUACACCAGGAGCUCUGUAGUCAGGUACACCAGGAGCUCUGUAGUUGGAUAGGUCAGGUACACCAGGAGCUCUGUAGUUGGAUAGGUCAGGUACUGUAAAUUCAAAGGGAUUUUCCCCAGGGAAAUAUGUGCAAGUAUCUUCGAUAUGUUUGAAUAUCUGCAGAGCCUUCAGAAUGUUUUCACACCCCUUGACUUUUCCACGUGGUUGUUGUGUUAUAGCCUGAAUUUAUAAUGGAUUCAAUUGAGAUUUUGGGGAUCAAUAAUACACACAAUACAAAAUGUCUAAGUGAAAUUAUGUUUUUAGACAUUUUUACAAAUUAAAUUAAUACAAAUCUUCAGUCAUGAAGUAUUUCCCACCUGGACAAAAGGAUCACUUAUGAGAGAAUGCUGUUCAUUGACUACAGCUCAGCGUUCAACACCAUAGAGCCCUCAAAGCUCAUCACUAAGCUAAGGAUCCUGGGACUAAACAGCUCCCUCUGCAACUGGAUCCUGGACUUCCUGACGGCCGGGCCGCCCCCUAGGUGGUAAGGGUAGGUAACAACACAUCCGCCACGCUGAUCCUCAACACAAG